AAACAGGAAUUAGAAUACAAUAUAAGCUCUAAGUGUUGUGUUGUCAUUUUCCCUGCUUAAAGGAAAGUUGUUUCUUAAUUAGCUAUACCUGUCUGAUUGACACCUGUUGCAGCCAGGGACACUUAAUCUCAUAACU